rnacentral:rRNA from 1 species
UGGGGAAUAUUGGACAAUGGGGGAAACCCUGAUCCAGCGACGCCGCGUGUGUGAAGAAGGCCUGCGGGUUGUAAAGCACUUUUAGUGGGGAUGAAAAGCCGAAGGCUAAUACCUUUCGGUCUUGACCUAACCUACAGAAAAAGCACCGGCUAACUCUGUGCCAGCAGCCGCGGUAAUACAGAGGGUGCAAGCGUUAAUCGGAAUUACUGGGCGUAAAGCGUGCGUAGACGGUUAUGUAAGUCAGGUGUGAAAGCCCCGGGCUCAACCUGGGAAUUGCAUUUGAGACUGCAUAGCUAGGGUGCGGAAGAGGGAAGCGGAAUUUCCGGUGUAGCGGUGAAAUGCGUAGAUAUCGGAAGGAACACCAGUGGCGAAAGCGGCUUCCUGGUCCAGCACCGACGUUCAGGCACGAAAGCGUGGGGAGCAAAC